GCUAACCAGCUGGAGAGCAGGGAUGGAGAACAUUUCCACCACUGCACAAGAGUUUUUCUUAGACAGUGAUGUCCAUAGACAGAUGCCUGCUGCUCACUGGGAACAGAGUUGUUUGGGGCAGUCUGUGUCCUGCCUGGAGCUAAGUAUUUUCUUUCCCUCUCCUCUGUCCAUGGAUCCUCAAACAACCCAAGACGACGACAUAUUUAUCAUCCCAUUUUACACAGGACACUGAGGCCCAGCAAGAGGAGUCACCUAUCAGAGGACACACGCCCAGUACACAGAGGAAGGCGGCUACAGACUGGUCCCUUCCUAGGCACCAUUGCCCCUCAGGAUGGAGGGUACGCCAGAACUCAGCCCUCUGUAUAAAGCCCUUGUCCCCAUGAACUUGUAUAUAAAUCAUUAUUUUCUACCA
rnacentral:lncRNA from 1 species